rnacentral:lncRNA from 1 species
GAGGAAUGUUUUAUGUCGAAAGAACUAACCCCUGAGCUGUUUCGUAAGUGCUUAUGAGCUAUAAUGUGCUGUCCAAGUAAUUGCUUAUAUGCUGUUUUUGGGAGCUUUAGCUGACCUUUAAUCUUUUACCUGUGCAGUAUGAAGCAGCCUGUUGAGCUGAUAUACGGUGCAAAUCCAGUUAUACAUUGAAACAAGCAGCGUAGAUUUGGUUCCGGAAUUAUUUCGCUCUGUUAAGUGUAAUUUAUAACGACGUCUUUGAUCGUAUGAUAAGAGUUGACAGGUUCAGUCGAAGAACGAGGAUGGAAGGAUGUCAGACACAAAUUUUGCAAGCUAAAGUAUGGAGAUAGUUGCAAACCACCUUGUAAACAUGGGUGAGAAGACAUGAUUGUAUUGAAAAGCUGUGUACCGAAAAGAGAAGUGCAAGUUCAUGAGAUUUUUUUUAGUUGUGUAUUCUAGUUGAAAAUUUCACUUAUGUUUCGAGCAUUAGUUCGAAUAUAUAGAAAAAGAAGAGUUUUAAAUUCUUCGACAGCCUCUUUCAUGAAAGUGCUUUAUGCCAAUUCAUUUUUCAUUUUUAUUUUGAAUUUUACCCUUAACCCCUCCGCGGCCUCACUUCAACUCAUGUCAUUGCUUUCACCCUAUUGAAGGUGUCACUUUGCAUUUCGCCCGUUAUUAAUUCAAUGUAUCUUGAUAAGAGUUUAUGGUGCUUUUCUUCAAAAUAAUAAUAAGGGA